GAUGAAGAACGUAGCGAAAUGCGAUAAGUAAUGUGAAUUGCAGAAUUCCGUGAAUCAUCGAAUCUUUGAACGCACAUUGCGCCCGCCAGUAUUCUGGCGGGUAUGCCUGUUCGAGCGUCAUUUCAACCAUCAAGCCCCCGGCUUGUGUUGGGGACCUGCGGCUGCCGCAGGCCCUGAAAUCCAGUGGCGGGCUCGCUGUCACACCGAGCGUAGUAGCAUACAUCUCGCUCUGGGCGUGCUGCGGGUUCCGGCCGUUAAACCACCUUUUAACCCAAGGUUGACCUCGGAUCAGGUAGGAAGACCCGCUGAACUUAAGCAUAUCAAUAAGCGGAGGA
rnacentral:misc_RNA from 1 species